rnacentral:rRNA from 1 species
UGGGGAAUGUUGGACAAUGGGGGCAACCCUGAUCCAACCAUGCCGCGUGAGUGAAGAAGGCCUUAGGGUUGUAAAGCUCUUUCAGUCGUGACGAUGAUGACGGUAGCGACAGAAGAAGCACCGGCUAACUCCGUGCCAGCAGCCGCGGUAAGACGGAGGGUGCUAGCGUUGUUCGGAAUCACUGGGCGUAAAGGGCGCGUAGGCGGCUUCAUCAGUCAGAUGUGAAAGCCCGGGGCUCAACUCCGGAACUGCAUUUGAUACUGUGAAGCUUGAGGUCGAGAGAGGAGAGUGGAAUACCCAGUGUAGAGGUGAAAUUCGUAGAUAUUGGGUGGAACACCAGUGGCGAAAGCGGCUCUCUGGCUCGAAUCUGACGCUGAGGCGCGAAAGCGUGGGGAGCAAACAGGAUUAGAUACCCCCGUAGUCC